GAGGAUAAGCUGGAAAAUCGCCGUUGAGAACUGUAUAUUUAAAAAUUAUUAUGUGGGCCUAAAAUUAGCCAUCACAAAAGUUUGUUAUAAAAUAGUAAAAACACAUGAAAAUAUUUCUAUACACGAUACCACGUUAAGCUAUAAGAAUAAUAAUUUAAACCAAUAAAUUAAUAUACCUAUGCUAGGAUGAGUAUUAAAAUUGCUAUAAGAAAAAUUAAAGAUUUUCUUAGAAAUUGUUUCUAAUGCUAAUUAAAGACAAGGAACUCGGCAAAUGUUGUUCCGCCUGUUUAUCAAAAACAUGGCUCUUUGAAAAAAGCAUAUAAAGAGUCGAACCUGCCCAGUGAAGUUUUAAACGGCCGCGGUACCCUGACCGUGCAAAGGUAGCAUAAUCACUUGCCUUAUAAUUGAAGGCUGGCAUGAAUGGUCUGACGAGAGCUACACUGUCUCCUCUUUAUUAUCUAGAAAUUAACCUAUAGGUGAAGAGGCCUAUAUUAUAUUGAAGGACAAGAAGACCCUGUCGAGCUUAAAAGUAAAGUAAGAAUUAGCUAUAGAAGGAAAUCAAUAAAUUACAUAACUUUUUAGUUGGGGCGACUAAGGAACAAAUAAAGCUUCUUUUAUUUUUAUAGAUUAACAGAUCUUGAUCCAGCUAACGCUGAUUAGAGGAAUUAGUUACCGCAGGGAUAACAGCAUAAUCUCCUUUGAGAGACCUAAUCGAAAGGGGGGGUUGUGACCUCGAUGUUGGACUAGAAUAUCCUGAAGAUGCA
rnacentral:rRNA from 1 species